GCCUUCGUAGUGUAGUGGUCAGCACACUCGACUCGUAACCGAGAGGUCAGCGGUUCGAUCCCCGGAGAAGACG
rnacentral:tRNA from 1 species